rnacentral:rRNA from 1 species
GAUGAACGCUAGCGGCAGGCCUAACACAUGCAAGUCGAGGGGCAGCGCGGGUAGCAAUACCUGGCGGCGACCGGCGCACGGGUGAGUAACGCGUAUGCAACCUGCCCCCGUCUGGGGAAUAGCCCGUCGAAAGGCGGAUUAAGGCCCCAUGGUUCCGGAGACCGGCAUCGGUUUUCGGAUAAAGGUUACGGACGGGGAUGGGCAUGCGUGCCAUUAGCUAGUUGGGGGGGUAACGGCCCACCAAGGCGACGAUGGCUAGGGGAGCUGAGAGGCUGAACCCCCACACUGGUACUGAGACACGGACCAGACUCCUACGGGAGGCAGCAGUGAGGAAUAUUGGUCAAUGGGCGGAAGCCUGAACCAGCCAUGCCGCGUGCAGGAAGACGGCCCUACGGGUUGUAAACUGCUUUUCUGCGGGAAGAACGGCCCCUACGCGUAGGGGUGUGACGGUACCGCAGGAAUAAGGAUCGGCUAACUCCGUG